rnacentral:lncRNA from 1 species
CGCAAUCUAAAUCAUUUUAAUAUCGCUUUAUUGGCAAAACAGGGUUGGCGUUUGUUACGUAAUCUUAAUUCGUUACUAGUGCGUACUUUUAAAGCUAAAUAUUAUAAUGAGUCGAACUUUUUUAACUCCAGUUAGGGAAAUCUACCUUCCUUUACCUAGCGAAGUAUCUGGGCUACUAAUGGGCUUUUGUUGAAAGGACUGGGUUGGAGGAUUAGAAAUGGAAACAAGUCUCUAUUUGGGAAGAUGCAUGGAUUCCUGGCAAUGAUGAUUUUAAAGUACAAAACACAGAGGUUAAUUUAAGCGUUCAACAAGUUGUUGAUCUGAUUGAUGCUAAUGCUAGAAAAUAGAACUCAGAGUUGAUUUUUAAUACAUUUUCGGAGCAGGACGCAGAAAGGAUUCUUUGUAUUCCCUUGUCUUUGCAGGAGCUCGAUGAUGUUGUCAUUUGGCGUGGAGAGCAGACUGGUGAAUAUUCGUUACGAAGUGGGCAUAAACUCCUUUUACAUGAUAAUCUUAAUAAUUUACAGGCUAGUUACAAACAAUUUUACAAAAAAUUGUGGACUCUUGACCUACCCUUUAAAAUAAAGAUUACAGUUUGGCGAAUUUCUCGUAACUAUCUACCUACUUUUAGUAAUCUUCAAUAUCAACGAAUGAGGGGCUCCGCGACUUGCAGUCGGUGCCAGGAUGGAGUGGAAAUAAGGGAACAUGUGUUCCACAAGUGCUCUGUUGCAAAGGAAACAUGGGAAUACUUGAAUAUAAAGUGGAUCCUUUCUGAAGAAAGCACUGAUUUCAGAGAAUGGUUUAAAUGUAUUUUUGAGUCUAGAUCUAAAGCUAUUUGCAGAAUAUUUGCAUGCACUUUAUGGGCACUUUGGACUUCCAGAAACAGAUUUAUCCAUGAUGGUGAGAUUAAGACGGGUGCUCAAAUUGCAAUUUUUGUUGAAAAUCAUAUUAAGGAACUUGAUGGGUUGAAACAGAAUGUACCUGUUGAACGUUUCUAUGUGGCUAGUUGGGUUGCUUCGGAAGGAACAGGGAUCAAGAUUAACUUCAAUGCUGCUUUUAACAAUCGCAGGAAGGAAUCGUGUUCAGGGUUAGUUAUCCGUAAUGCUAAAAUAGAGGUUAUUUGCUAAAAAAUAGUUAUGAACUCAAACAUACCGUCUGUCUUCGCUGCUGAAGUGGUGGCGUGCUUUCAAGCGCUACAACUGGGUUUACAACCGGAUAUGAGGGAGGUGGAGAUCGAGGGUGAUUCUUGAACGGUGAUUCGAAAGCUUCAAGAAGAAAAUGAGGAUAGAUCUGAGAUUGCUGCACUCAUAAACGGUUCUAAAAGUAUUAGCUUAGGAUUUCAGACCUGCGUCUUCCUCUUUACAAACAGAGAAGCAAAUACGGUUGCUCAUAUCACUUUAACUGAAGGAUUGGUAAGAAGAGAGUCAACUUAUCUAGAGAACAUGGUUGCUUUUGGAGCGGUGGGAGUGGUGGCUGAAGAUCGACAGAGGACUGAGAGUAUGAGAGAGCUGAGGGGACGGAGAGUAGGGGAAGAGGAAAACAUUUUUUGAAUCUGUUGUGUGGAAGAGUUUUCAAGAAUGUGGAGUUUCAAGAAGCCUUUGAGGGUUGAAAUGGUCAGAUAUUAAUUUGAUUGCUGAUAAUUAUUGUUUUGACGAUUGUUGUUUUCAAGGGGGUUUAUGGGGUGGUUUCUAGCUGGAGCAAGAAUGCUCUAGAGUAUCCCUCUUUGUCGUUUUGCUGGUUUGUGGAAUUGGGCUACUUUUGUUUUUCUUUGUGUUUGGGCUUGUCUUUGGGUUAUUUUGUUUUAUUAAUUUUUGUUAUUUUGACUUUGGGGGUAUUUUGUUUUGUUCUGUGUUGGGUUGUUUUUGGUUUUUUGUUUUUCCGUUUCUUGUGUUGGACUUUGUCUAUUGUUGGCUUGAAUUUGUUUUGGCCCUGUUUCAAUAUAAUCAGUGAAUUAAUUCAAAAAAAAAAGUCUGUGAUAAAUGGAUGACAUGGCUGUUCUAAAAUUGUUAUAAUAAUAUAUUUAACCUUCAACAAUUAUGUAACACCCCUGUCCCGUAUCCGUCGCCAGAAUAGGUGAAGGGGUAUUACCAGACUUGAAACUCA